AAAACCCUCAUCCUUAUAUUGGCAGUGCAUCCUUUUGCCAACACCAGAACAACUAUCCUGGAGCAAGCUCAAUGUAAAAAGAGACAGCGGCUUCAGAAUGUGAUCGUCAACUCCAUCCUCUUUCAUCAACUUGCACAAUAGUUACAGGAUUAUUUGCAAGGAUCAGAGGAGGUAACCAUCGCCACCCUUGGAACCACAAACCCAAAGAUUAACAUCAGUAUAUUCAUGCAUCUUCAGAAUUCGCACGACUGGUUAACUCCAAGUACAUUCGUUGCAUGGUUUAAGAGAGCUCCCUGAUCAUGUAAGUGCAACUUUACAGGAAAUGCAUCCUUGAACGUCGUCUUGAGCAUUAAAUAAUACCAGUCCUGCGUGCUCUCUGUUGAGCUGAAUCUUGUGAACCACAACUCCGUGAUUGCACACAAUACUGGACACGACUCGCAGAUCAAGGAACCGAGGGGAAGACUAAAUAAAUUUAUCUUGGUUAAGUGCGUCAUUGGCAAGUCUUAUGGGGAAGAUUAGUGCGAACAAUCAGACCAGGGAAAUCAAAAUCUGCAACGGUGUGCUCCUUGCAUUUCUGAUUCAUUUGCAAAAACCAUGCAUCCUUCUCAAGCGAGCGUCGAGAUAAGGACUGUCCUACACAUUGUAGUAAAUAAGGAUAAAGGAUAAAUGGCAUAUCCUGAAACUUCACCACACAUGACUGCAUUCAACACAUUGGGUACCAAAAAAAAUAAUGAACAGAUUGUCUACUCUCCCAUCGUGUGAACUCAAGAAUCUCAAACUUAACUCUGGAUUGGAUUCCCAAGAGGCAGGAAGGUGUUCUGUUCCUGAAGUUCAAUCAACAAUACACAACAUCUGCACAAAAGUGUUGGUCCUGGUGUUGCAAAAGAUAAACACUCCAAAAAAAGGACUAUAAGUACACUGUGUUUUAUCCCAACCGCAUUAGCGUGGUAAUUGCAUUUAUUGCCUGGCUUACUAAGUUCUUAUAGGAUACACCAUCGCUCCGGUGAUAGUUAAUGAUGGUGUGAAUAAAAGAUCGGCGAUUUGCUGGAGUCGCCGAUUCCAGCAAAUCCUUUCUUGCAAGGUCAGGCACCUGGUUAGAUGGGCGUUCAUCCAGGAGGACAUCCCCUGCUGCACGAUGGCGGGGCAUAUUGUGCCCUCCCACGAGCUGAGCAGCAUAUCCUAAUUCCAUCCUAAUUCCAUCCUAAUUCCAUCCUAAUUCUGAACAAUUCCAAAUGUAGGCUAACACAAAGACAAUCACUGUUUCAGAAUUGAAAGGUUCACACAAAGGAAACAACUGACCGUGAUGCCAACUCCAGAAUACAACACAAAGUCCAUCGCCGUUUCCAUGCUGUCUGCCCAGCUAUGACAAAGCCAUAAAUAUUCCAGUGCGAAACUGAGGUACAUGUAUGAUGGACACUCCAUACGAGACCCAAAAACACGGAAAAUUCAUAACAAUGAGAUGAUUUUUAGCUAGCCAGGAACUCCUCCACGACGCGGUCACGGUAUCAAUUUGUUACACAAAAGCCGGAGAACAUGAACAUCAUGAAGAGAUGGACAAUGUGGACGAAUUCAUCCCGGUGCCGCAGAGGAUGAGGAGCUGCUGUUUUGAGAUGUGGUUUCGAUCACAGAGCGCCGUCGAUGCGAGCUGCCGUCCACAUCCCUCGGGAAGAGAAGUUUUCUAGGGGGGCUUCGUCUGGCGGCCCUAUUCUCUUGGUUUUUCGCGGGUUUUUGUUGUAGGGAGCUCCGUAUUUUUGGGUGCCAGGAUUGUUGCUGUUCCGGUGCGGUAUGUUGUGGUGACGGCGGCGGUGUUGCUGCAAUCUUGGUUUUGUUACGUUUCUCCUGUUGUCGUUCCGGUGGUCGACGCUCCUAGUGUUGCGACGUUGGUUUUGUAUUCUCUUCCUCGCGGUCCUGCAGUUGGUGAGAAAUCUGGUUUUUUCUUCGCGUUACUGUUCCGGUCGAGGGGGGCUGGUCGUCAUUCAAGGCGCUUCUGCAGCGCCGUUCCAGGCUUUUCUACUUUUUGUUGUAUUAUUUAUUGUCUGUGGCAGUCCUGCUUCGGAGUGUGUUGCGGUCAAGGCUGGUGUCCUAAUUCUCGUUUUCUGCUGAGUUUUUGUUCCUCGAGAGGCUGCGGAAGCUCUUUUUGGUCUAUGUCAGAGGACGUGAUCUGGUUUCCGUUCUGCAUCAGUUGGUCCUUAGUCAGAGGGCGAGCCAUGCGGGUGUGCUUCGUAAGGUGCUGGUCGACUUAAUUCGGCGCUUGUCUUCGUUUUCUUUCUUGUUGCUGUGCUUGUUCUUCUCCGACUGUUGUUCGGCUUCGUUCUUCUUCGACUAUCGCUGAGUUUCCUAUCAUCGUCGUCGCCUUCAGUUGGCACUCUCGGUGCACUGGGCGUGUUGGCAGGUAUUGUUAAAUGGGAGAAUUGAUGUUCUGCAAUUGGUAGUCAGACGUGAGUUCGCUGGCGAUCUGGGUCUUAAUAGCAGAAAUCAGUGGUUAAAUUUGGAGAUGCGACUGUGACAGCGAACAAUUGAGCAAGUAACUUGACGGUUUGAGUCCCUAACGACAAUUGAGGAGAGGCAACGUUGUUCAGAAUCCGUGUUGUGAAGGUGUUCGAAAUAUAGUACCGAUUUGUUAGUGCUGAUGAGCGAAGGUGGUUGUGCAUUAAAACACAUAGUUGUGGAAGUUCGGUUAAGUGUGGGAUGAACUGAGUGUGGAUGAUCCAAUUUGGAUGAAUACCUAAUCACAGAUGACACUUCUUUGGAUGAAUAUUAUUAAUGGAUGAAUUCUCAUUUGUGGAUCAUUUUUGCUCUUGAUCAUUUGGAGUUGAUUGUAAUACUGUUUGGUGUUUGGGGCUUGUUUGUUUGUUUUUUCAUUGCCAAUCUUGUAGUUGUGUUGUGCUUUGAAUGUGGAACUUUGUCAUGAAUUUAGAAAGUAAUUUUUUUUGUCAAUCUUGAAGAUAGAUAGUACCUCUUGGUCCACCAAAUACCUUAUUAUUGUCAUCUUCAUCUUCUUCUUGGUCCAUCUAAGAUCGUGUCAUUGUCUUUUAGGUUAGCAUCAGAUUUUGUUAUUGUCUUCUUGGUCCUCAAGAUCCUCUUCCUUUAGGUUAGCAUCACUUUGUUAUUAUCAUCUUGUUCCUCAAGAUCUUCUUUGUUGAUGAUACUUUGUAGUGGGUACUUUUUUAUUUUUUGUUGUUUAGCUUGUCUCAUUUGCCAUUGUUCUCAACUUUUACUUUCAUCUUAUUUUUAAUCACCAUUGUUUUUGUUACUUGUGAUUACUUGAUGCUAUUGUAAUAGCAACUUAUAUGGUUUGCUCUCAUAACAAGGUUUGCUUUGAUUGUAUGAUUUUGUUCAUUCUCUCAUGCCUAUGCUUUCAACACUUGCUUCUCCUUUUCUUUGUCAUUGUUGUCAAUGUUAGUAUUUGUGCUAUGUCAAGUUAUUGUCCAUCAUCGCAUGAAGGAUUUUAAAUUAGUCAAAGAAAUGUUAUAGAAGUUAAGGUGAGGUAGAAAUAAGGAAGAGGAUUUGAACAAAUUGGUUGCAUAGUUCAUUAAAAAGUAGUUGAAUUCUUUGAAGGCCAAGAUGUACAACCUUUAGAAUAUUAUUUCUACCCUCCAUCUUGAUCCCUUGUCUUAUGUUCUUGAAUUCUUUGCGUUUUUAAGUUUCUUAUAUUUUCAAGAUCAUGACAAAUCAAAAGUCUCUUUUGAUCUAAAUUGCCUCUUGGCGUAGCAUGGGAGGAGAGGGAUGUGCUACACAUGUGGGAUCUUAAAAUUCAUAUAUAAAUAUUUUAUUUGAGUGCUUAUCUUUUAUAUGUUGAAAUUACAAUCAUCUAUUUCUUGCUACAAUUGGAAUUGACUUGGGUGUACUAAAUUUGUGAAGAAUUUUGAUACAUUGCAAAUGCUUACGGAAUUGUAGGAUUAUAAGGAUGUUAUGAAGUUUUGCAAUAAGAAAUUGGUGCAUUGUAUAUGAUCUAUGAUGCAAGAAUAUAGUUUUUAAAGAAUUUUUGUAGAAAAAAGUAGUUUGUUGUAUUGAUAUUCUAUGAAAUUUUGAAGGAGAUAAAUAUUUAAUUUUGGUAUA